UGUGCGGAUGACCACCCUAGGGAAGCCUCCCGGGACCACGCUGCCGGCCUCGGGGCCCAGUAGUGAAAAGAAUUAUCCCCAAAGCCAGUCGUAUCCAGCCCCAGAGACAAUUCUGACUGGGCUGCCUACUGAAUGUUGGGGUCGCUCACAGAGACACCUCUGAAGAUUUAAGCAGUUCUUGGAUACAGUUGGAGUCUGGGGUCCUGUUGUGCAUGUACCUGCUAGCUCCUUUUCCUGGACCGUCCCCACCCCCGGGCAGAUGUGCCCUCUGCCCAGGAUGUUGGCUGGACCACAACGCCCAGAAGGGGAAAAUUUGGACACAGAAGCAGACACAAAUAUAGGGAAAGUGAUGUGAAGACAUGGGAGAGGAUGACCAUCUACAAGAUGGAGUAGAGGACUGGAGCAUGUCCUCUCCUGGCCCUCAGAAGGAACCAACCCUGCCCACACCUUGAUUAUGGACUUCUGGCCUCCAGAACUGUGAUAUGAUAGGAUAAAUUUCUCUUGUUUAAUCUACCCAGUUUGUGAGACUUUGUUAUAGCAGCCCUAGCAAACUAAUACAUGUGCUAAAUGUUUUACAAAUAUUAACUCAUGUAAUCCUUACCAUCAAACCUACAAGAUAUGGAAAAUGGAGGGAAGAAAAGUUAAGUACCACUAGAAGGAAGAAGUCCACCUAAUCCAGAAGGUGGAGCAUUCCACAGGAUAAAUGAUAAGGCUACUCCAACAAAACAAUGUUGUGAUUUAAAGAGAGAGAGGGAAUGGUUAUUAGAAUCCAAGUGGCUUAAGGGGCACCUGGGUGGCUCAGUGGGUUGAGUGACCAACUCCUGAUUUGGGCUCAGGUCAUGAUCUCAGAGUCUUGUCGUGAGACCAUGCCCCCAUCUCUGUGUUCAGUGGGGAUUCUGCUUCUCUCCUUCUCCCUCUUCUUCUGCCCCUCCCCCUGCACACAUGUGCUCCCACAAAUACAGAGAAAGU